rnacentral:tRNA from 1 species
CAUUAAGUAACUUAAAGUAAGUACCGGUCUCUUAAACCGUAAUAUAGUAUCUAACAACUACUCUUAAUGA